AACUGAAGCAGGAAUGUUUAUAUACAACAACAGCAAAAUAAAACUCAACAUUUAUAAAACACAUUUAAGGUAAUGUAGAUUUUACAGAAUAUCUUAAAGGAAGAAGUAAAGUGGAAAGGUGUUAUGAGAUGUCCCAGAGCUUAGGGCCUAGGCAACUGUAAACUUACAAUGGGGAAGUGAUUAAAAUUGGGGCUGCUCAUGGGACCAGAUUUAAUUAGCAGAGAUAUUUGUGUGAAGAGGGUUGUGGGGCUGGUGGAGAUUACACAGACAGGGACUGAAUAUUUUAAAAGAAGGCAUUGUUUGAUCAAUAUAGGUGAACAAACACUGAGAUAGGUGAAAGAGACUCUGUGUGUUAGGACAUGAGUAACAGAGUCUUAGAUGACCUCAAAUUUACUUCAAGAAUGUGGGAGUUGAGCCUGCAGUAUGUUGAGUAGUCAACCCUAGAGGUGCAGAAAAUGAGAAUAAGGAAUUUAACAGCAGGUGAGAUGAAGCAUGGUGAAUUCAGGCAAUGUUAAGGGAGCAGAGAUAGGCAGUCUUAGCAAUAAUGUGACUGUGCGGUCAGCAAAAUUAUGAACAGUGUAGUUUAGUCUCAAAGCGUUGCCAGGAGAAAGGAUGGUUUCAGUAGCUUGGGAUUCAGUGACUGAAACGAAUGUUUUUUUUUCAGAAAUUUAAUUGGAACAAAUUUCUGUUCAUUCAGGAAUGCUCGUUUGAGAAGCAGUCUGAUAAUUCAGCAGAAAUGGAAGGGUGGACUGAUGUGAACUGUCUUGAUAAUGUGGCUCAGGCAGAAACCUGAUUGGACUGUUUCAGCAGGAUGUUCUGGAAGAGGUGAUGAUGGAUUUGGAGGUGAUAACUUAGGUGCUAUCCUCCAGUUUCAGAGAUGGUGUGCUUGGAGAGUACCGGAAAGAAGAAAAACAGAAGAAUGAAGUCAUAGAG